GUGUCAGCCGCCGCGGUAAGACGUAGGGGGCGAGCGUUGUCCGGAUUUACUGGGCGUAAAGCGCACGUAGGCGGUCAGAUAAGUUGGACGUGAAAUCCCCACGCUCAACGUGGGAACCGCGUCCAAUACUUUCUGACUGGAGGGCAGAAGAGGAGAGCGGAACUACCGGUGUAAGGGUGAAAUCUUUAGAUAUCGGUGGGAACACCAGUGGCGAAGGCGGCUCUCUGGUCUGUCCCUGACGCUGAAGAGCGAAAGCCAGGGUAGCAAACGGGAUUAGAUACCCCGGUAGUCCUGGCCGUAAACGAUGAUCACUAGGUGUUGGGAGUAUCGACCCUCUCAGUGCCGAAGCUAACGCAUUAAGUGAUCCGCCUGGGUAGUACGGUCGCAAGGCUGAAACUCAAAUGAAUUGACGGGG
rnacentral:rRNA from 1 species